rnacentral:rRNA from 1 species
AACGUAGGACGCAAGCGUUAUCCGGAGUUACUGGGCGUAAAGCGCGGGCAGGCGGUUUUGCCAGUCUGAUGUGAAAUCUCUCAGCUCAACUGGGAGCAGCCAUUGGAAACUACAGAACUGGAGUCUGACAGAGGUAGGCGGAAUUCCGGGUGGAGUGGUGAAAUGCGUAGAGAUCCGGAGGAACACCAGAGGCGAAGGCGGCCUACUGGGUCAGUACUGACGCUGAGCCGCGAAAGCCAGGGGAGCGAACGGG